rnacentral:rRNA from 1 species
UGAUAUCUCUAGAAGACAUCUGAAAGAGAUUAAAGAUUUAUCGGUGAUGGAUGGGGAUGCGUCUGAUUAGCUUGUUGGCGGGGUAACGGCCCACCAAGGCAACGAUCAGUAGGGGUUCUGAGAGGAAGGUCCCCCACAUUGGAACUGAGACACGGUCCAAACUCCUACGGGAGGCAGCAGUGAGGAAUAUUGGUCAAUGGACGAGAGUCUGAACCAGCCAAGUAGCGUGCAGGAAGACGGCCCUAUGGGUUGUAAACUGCUUUUAUAAGGGAAUAAAGUGAGAGUCGUGACUCUUUUUGCAUGUACCUUAUGAAUAAGGACCGGCUAAUUCCGUGCCAGCAGCCGCGGUAAUACGGAAGGUCCGGGCGUUAUCCGGAUUUAUUGGGUUUAAAGGGAGCGUAGGCCGGAGAUUAAGCGUGUUGUGAAAUGUAGACGCUCAACGUCUGCACUGCAGCGCGAACUGGUUUCCUUGAGUACGCACAAAGUGGGCGGAAUUCGUGGUGUAGCGGUGAAAUGCUUAGAUAUCACGAAGAACUCCGGUUGCGAAGGCAGCUCACUGGAGCGCAACUGACGCUGAAGCUCGAAAGUGCGGGUAUCGAACAGGAUUAGAUACCCUGGUAGUCCGCACGGUAUACGAUGGAUGCCCGCUGUUGGUCUGAAUAGGUCAGCGGCCAAGCGAAAGCAUUAAGCAUCCCACCUGGGGAGUACGCCGGCAACGGUGAAACUCAAAGGAAUUGACGGGGGCCCGCACAAGCGGAGGAACAUGUGGUUUAAUUCGAUGAUACGCGAGGAACCUUACCCGGGCUUGAAUUGCAGAGGAAGGAUUUGGAGACAAUGACGCCCUUCGGGGCCUCUGUGAAGGUGCUGCAUGGUUGUCGUCAGCUCGUGCCGUGAGGUGUCGGCUUAAGUGCCAUAACGAGCGCAACCCCUCUCCUUAGUUGCCGUCAGGUUAAGCUGGGCACUCUGGGGACACUGCCACCGUAAGGUGUGAGGAAGGUGGGGAUGACGUCAAAUCAGCACGGCCCUUACGUCCGGGGCUACACACGUGUUACAAUGGCAGGUACAGAGAGACGGUCCCUUGCAAAACGGAUCAAAUCCUUAAAGCCUGUCUCAGUUCGGACUGGGGUCUGCAACCCGACCCCACGAAGCUGGAUUCGCUAGUAAUCGCGCAUCAGCCAUGGCGCGGUGAAUACGUUCCCGGGCCUUGUACACACCGCCCGUCAAGCCAUGAAAGCCGGGGGCGCC